CCAUGAUGAAUCAGGAAACAUUGUACCCUUUCAUUAUGAGCUAUGCGGAUGGAAUCUUGCUCGCCCUAUCAAACAAGAGGAGAGAGAUGAAGAAGUUUUAUGUAUGGCCUGCUUGCUGAUGGCGGAAUUUAAAGAUUAUAUAGAGAAUUAUGACAUUGGUAGAUAUGCAUUCAUGGAAUCGCAUUCAAAAGGAAAUAAAAAUUUUCUAAAUGCAAUGAAUCCGGAUGAUGGUACAUAUGUUGGGGAUAUAUUGGAGGUUGAAAUGGGGCUCAUGUACGAUUUGUUAUACACAAAAGCAUCCAUAACAUUUACCAAGAGAGGGUGCAUUUUUUGCUCUAUCAGCUUCAUGUGUACGGUGUCUCUGUUGGUAGGACUCUUCCGGCUUAUCGCCAUGGAAGCGAAGUGGCACAAGCAGCACUACUCCAUGGAAGCGAAGUGGCCGGUCCUUGUUUAAGAGAAAUAAAAAGACAAGAACGUAAAGGACGCGAAUUGUCUCCCUCAGAUAUGACAGAAAUUUGUUUAUGACAAUAGAUCUUUCUCGUGAAGAAGCUGCAGAAGAACAAGGACACAAAGAUGCGAUGGAUUUUUUCUUAAAAGAUGUGAUUAUUGAACUCGACGAUGGUAAUAAGAAGGUGAAAUGGGAAAAAUUGAAAAUGGUGUGGUUGGGGAUGUUAUGCUACGCUGUAAUUAGUGGUUCAAAAAAUUAAAUAUAAUAAAGAUGUAAAAAUUAUUCUGUCUUAAGAUUA